UGUUGCUUAUGUCACACAGUAGAUGAGAGAGCAGUGGCAUAAAAAGAGAAGGUAAUGUGUAGUAAAAUGGAGAGAGCUAUUAAGCGAUUCUUCUCAAAUAGGAAAGUUUACCUUGGAAAAUUCACAUACUAAUCGUAGCUCAGGGACACACACUGUUUUAUUAAAAUGAAAACACGGUACUGCAGAGCAUGAACUAAAUAAAGAAAUGAUCUUGUGCUCCAAUGACCAGCCAUUAUGCUAUGUAAAUACAUGAUCCCAUAUGUGCAAACAGUUGGUAGUAAAAAUUUGUGUAGUUAUUUUAAUGUAGCAAUGUAGAAAGACUAAAAAAAAGACUAAUCAUCUCUUACCUAAUAAAGAACUUACCUAUUUUUAAUAGACUCCACUAGCAAGAGACUAGAUGUGUAUAAACUGGUAUAACUGUCAGUACCAGCGUGGGUUCUCUUACCCAUCAACAACUAAAGUUUUUCUACAAAUAACCCUCAACCAUCAGAGUGAAAUCUAGAUUUUGUGUCCUACCAGAAGUUCUGACAUUCCAGGAGUUAUUUUUGGUAUGGAAAUGUAAAAGUGUUUCCUUGCAAUUCAAAGCCAGAGAGGGUCCUGGAUAUUUCUGGAAUAACAUUUCCCAACAUUGUUCUGUUGACCACUUAGAGGCACAUCCGUGUUACAUUUCAUUCCCUUAUUCUAUUGUUGAUUGAGCAGCUCAGGGCAGAUGCACUCAAUCUUGCACAAUACACAGUGGACUCUCCCUCCCUUCUCACAGUGUUUGCAAUUGCCUCGACUCAGAAUCCUCCCACACUGUGACCUCAGCUGACCAAGCAAGCUGUAAUAAUAGCUUUCUUCUUUGAGUGAGUAUUCAUUUUUCAGGAUAAUCAUGACGAUUAAAGCCUACCUGUGUUUUGCGCAGGAAAUAAAAAAUAGCCAGUGUUAUAAAAUUCUGAAGAAUGUUACCAUUAAAGCUACAAUAAGCAAGAAAAAUAAAAUUGCAGGCUCUCAGUCCUCUUUCUGGCAUUGCCCCACCGUGGUGCAGUAUCAGUUAAAACACUGGGCUUAUGGAGUUUUGUACUUUUCUGGUUUUAAACUGCUUUGGAAUUUUUGAAUGAAAUCUCCAUUCUUUCCACUUAACAUUUUUGUAUUCGGUGUAUCUCUAAUGCUGUAUUAAUUAAUUCCACCCUUAGAAUAAAAUGCUAAUAUAGUGAAGUGACCAUGGGGUUGUAUCUUUGUACACCAAUAGAGUUCACUAUUGUUUUACUGUUGUUGAAACUCAGAAGUGCAGGAAUAAAUAUAACCUUGUGAAUCUUGUGCACUGGGAGGGAAUAAUAAAAUUCUAUUUUUGAAGUUAAAAUAGAUAGCAGUAUAAAACAUAAGAUACAAACUGAUUGCUUUAUUCUUUUUGUAACUUCACGGAGUACCAAAAAUUUAGUUCAUAGUUUUAAUUGCAGGGUUGAUACAGGAAUCUUGUUAGCUGUCCUCAGUUCCUUCCAAAUUAUAUAUCUGGGGGUGUGUGUCUGAAAUGCAGUCACAAUAUCAUGUCAUUUUUUAGACUUUUUUUAGACGGGGAUGAAUUGGUCUGAAAUAGCAGAGCUCCAUAAUGAUCAGUCUGGUUUCAUACAUAUUGAGCAAAUACACAUCCAAGCUAGCAGCUCUGAGUGUGAGGGUAGCCUUCUAAUCCACCGACCAUUAAGGCAAAGCAGAGAGCACAUGAAACUCUUCUCUUUAUGGUGAUGUUAAUCUCAAUAUUUCUGGUUUUUAUCUUCAGAAUGCUAUUCUUCAAUGGCUCAAUGCAUAUUCUGUGAAACAAAAUCCAGUGUAUUUCCAGUCAGUAUGAAAAACUGAGCCGAGAUGGAAUUGAAGUUCAAAACUUGCUAACCACAACAUGCAUCAGUUACCACUUACGUACUGAAACUGGGUAUCUGCUGUGUUACUUUUUGGUUUUCUAGGAACCCAGAAUUACGAUUCUGUGCCUGGCAAAACCACACCAGUAUACGCAGCUUAUCGCAUAAACCUGCAUAAACUCACUGCAGGAAUGAGACAGUCUUCCAUUACCUGGUGGCAGUGGAUGUUAUUUGCUGGCAGUCCUCCCACAGAAGCGGCUCGGAAAGCACCAUCAGGCUGCUGAGGCCAAAACCACGGUGUGCUGGGGCUGGGGGCCUGUGAGGUGGAGUGCGGAUAGGAUUCAGUUGCUGUGGAUGUUUCGGGAUUUGGGGGUUAAACUUAAACCUCCUUUGGUGGAGGGAACCUUUGAAUCGGAGCGCAGCAUUUGCUUAGGGCAUGGUUCAACCACUGGGCUACAAUAUAAAAUACAGGACACCUAGCACCUAAAAGUUGUUUAGGUUAUAAAUUUAUGCAACUAUUAGCUGCUAGGUGGGGAAGGACACCUGACUUCACAGACUCUGUGUGUUUUCAAGCUCUCACCCCAUCUGACAAAAUUCUUAACAUAUUUCAGUUUUACACCUCGAUUCUUAACUUGUUCAGGUGCAGAACAGGAUGUGAAUUGACUGAACAGCAUUUGUGAGCAUCAUUAUCUGGUUGAUGAACCAGGUUCCUUCUUGAGAAAGAGAUGCUGGAACUGUAACCAGCCAAAUGCUGCUGAAGCUUUUUCUACAUAAUUUCUAUUUGAAAUAUUCUUUUCAGUCCUACUGUUUUCUCUCCUACGGUCUGAUAGACCCAAAUCUGUCUUCAGUUUUGCUAUUGCUUUAGAUAUUUCUCUUCCCAUUCUCACUGUAUCCAUGAUGCUUUUUCUUCUUAUGAAUAGAUUGUUCCCCAUCCUAUCAUACUGUUAUUUUGUUGUGCUUUCCUGUUUACAUUUAUAUCUUUCAGAUCAAUCUCCACUUACUUGAACAACAGCUCCCCUUCAAAUCAUAGCGCAGGGGAAGGAAUUUAUCAUUCAAAUAAACACGAAGGAAUGCUUUUAUUUUCUAAUCACAUUUAAAUAUUAGCUCUUCUAAAAAUAACCAAUUUAAGGUACUGUAUGAAAAUACAAGUUGCUAAUGGGUAAUACUUUCAAAUUAUUCUCAAUUUCCUGCAUUCUAGGCCAAGUCCAAUUUAGUUAAUUAUUGGUUGCAUCUUAUUCUGACUGUGCUACAUUUAGAGAGGAAGAGGAAACUGAGACUUUGAUUAAACUUUCAUAACAACUAAUUGCAAACCAAAAAGCAGUAAAAUUCAGUUUUGGAAAAGUAACAAAUUGGAUUUUGCUGUGAUAGUUUUCUUGUGUGGUACAUGCGUAAUAGUGUGAAAUCACUAUGAAAUUGCCAUUGUUCUUCUCCUGUACAGUACCCAGAAAUUCUUUUAAUGCACUCUUUCCAGGUAAUUUACUCUGGAGAGCAAGGAGGUGUUACAACAUGGUAAAAUGAGAUUUCAGUAGAAAACUGUUUCUGAUUUCAGGCCGCUGUUGUGUUCCCACUGGUUAGCAUGGCAGCGGAGGCUGCAGAGGCUUUAAGCUCACAGGGAGGCUGAGUUUUGAGUCGGAUGUUCUGAGGUUCAGAAUGGCAGUGAACUUCCAUGAGGACAAGGAGUAAAAGAUUCUCCCACUGCUGUCUAAUGGGCCUUCAAAAGCACGUUCAUUGUUUCCCUCAGCACACUGUGCUGCGAGGCCUUGCAGAUAGAUUUCUUCUGCUUCCCGAAUCCACGUCUCUGCCCUGCCGGAGAUCAAAAUGAAUGCUGAUUUCAAACUAAUAAACAGGCUGCAUUUUCUGACAGACUAUUCACUGGAGUAAUAUCGUAAUGUAUUUCUUUUGAUGUGUUUGUUUCCCAAGUUGUCAAUUAGCUGGAGAGAAAGUGCCACUCUCCCCACCAUCUUUCUUUCUGUGACCAGAUCCUUUUUGGUACAUCAUUUGUCAAAAUGUCAGUGAUGUAAGCUUGCUGGGGGUUUUUAUGUGUCUGAAAAUAUUCUUAAAGGAUGUUCUUUCAUUAUCUAGUGUACUUUUACACCAAAUGCUUUUGAAGUAAUGUUGUUAGGCUUUGGAAACUUCUGAAGCUGACAACAAAAAAGACUACGUGGAAGUUGAAAUUCUUUUGUUUCAACCGUAACGUUACUUUUUUGCUAUUGUUCAAAUGUGUGACCUGAAAUU